CACACCAGAUGGGACUCCUGCCUUCAUUUUUCUUACUCCUUCUCCCAGCUUUUUUCCCCUUGAUUUUUUUUAUGUUGGCCACAGCAACCUGUGACACCUCUUUCGGAAUACAUUUCCUCUCAACAGGGCUCAGUUAACAAUAUCCUUAUAUUUGUGUUCAUAUGUACAAUAGGGGUUGCACGGCUGCUCAUUUCUUUUUCAAGAGAAAUUCAAUCAAAUUAAAAUCGAGGGGAUUGUAGUGUUGAAUUUUAAGCUUCAUAAUUCAGAUUUCUUGUUUGAUCAGUGAAGACAAAAGGAGCAAAUGCUUUCUAUUUGAUGAGAUCUUUUACAGCUGCUAAAUAAUUUACCAAUGAUUCACCAGUCCCUGAAACAGCACAAACGAAGCCUUCACAUGUCCCCUUGGUGGUACAUUAAGAGUAGAGAAUCUAACAAUGGAUGUAGCAACGUUUUACAUUGUUGUGAGUAUGCAGACAUGUUUGGUUGAACAGUUCUCAUUUCACUAACUGAAGAUGUUGCACAUUAUUAUAAUUUUUAAACUGUUGGGUAGCAAAGGUCCAGUUGUCGUUCACGACCAUGUAAGCGGUUCCCACACAACAAAAUCUGGAGCAUUUAUCCUUUAAUUUUAAUCACUCAGCCAGGUGAGAACAAUGUCUAAACUUAAAAUACUGUACAUUAAGGCCUGAGUAUGUUUCAAACUAAUCAGAUCAUGCAAGUUGCUUUCUGACAGAGACUGUCCUCCAAGAAAUAUAAGUUUCAGUAAAUGUCUGCAAGACCUCUAACAGCUUUGCGAAUUAUGACUCUUGUCCACAGAGAGCUCAGAAAGUCUUAAUGUUAUAAAAUUAUUAUAUUAUUAUUAUAAAAUACUUAAUAGAGUCCACAGAAGGAGAAGGUCAGAGUGGUUGGAUGAAUCAGCAAAAGUUUGAUUCUCAUUUCCAACCAACAAUUAACAUGACAUCAUUAACCAUGACCAUGUUGCCUCGGGCUUUCAGAGUAAAAACAUGCAAACAGUGUUCAAAAAAGUUCAACGGCAUUGUUGUGUCAGAUUGUCUAAAACUCUACUUUCCACCAUUGGGGUCUCAGACACUGUUACACUAUGAGUACCUUAUUUGAAAUAGAUUCAGGCCUUCAGUCCUCUUCCCAGUAAACUGUAGUCUAGUUUGUUGAAGAAAUUACAAUACCCAUACCAACAACACUUACCAAUCCCUAAAUUCAAAUCCUAAUGGUUAUAAGGAGACAAAUGUUGGCAUUUGUAAGCCAUUAUGUCUGCUAAAAAGGAUUUUACAACAACUGAUGCUCAUCUGUAAAUUGGCAAGAUGACCAACAAGCAAACCAGUGUAAUACAAAAAACAACUUUGCCCACUCAAGUCUACUUACAGGAAGAAUUCAAGACGUUAUAAAGACUGAUCCCAUGUGUUUCUGUAUAGCCUAAUCAAUAUAAGACAAGGCUAGGUGUCACAGCACCACCUACCUGGAUUACUCACUGAUGUUUCAGUGCAACCCAUGGUCUAUAGCGCUGCCUAGUUUUGUGGUAAUCCUGAGGUCAAGGCUCCCUGUGCGUUUCAUCCAUUCAGACUUUAAAAUAGCAGGUUGUUUUAUUUCCAAUGCUAAAGCAACAGGAAGCUAAAGAUAUGCAUUUAGAAAUUCCAUUAAAAUUGGCGAUGAAUCACAGUGCGGUUAUCAAUCAGCUGACCUUCUGUCUGUGGUCAAAAGUGAUUUCUACAGUCAAUGCUUUAUUGAACUGGGGUUAAGACUUCAAGGGUAAGAUGUGUCAAUAGAUGCAAAAAAAAAAGUAUAACCUUGUACUAGCGGCACUGAAUCUUAUUAGUGAGGUCAUGAAGAGGGUUAUGAAUACAAAAGUACAUGUUAUAUGUACCUGAUGAUUCAGAUGAUCUGUGGAUACUUCCAACACAGAGGUGGAAACAUUCACAGUCACUGCACACUGAUUACACAGCCUUACUUUACAGUGUGGAAGGUAGAGAGCCUACUUGAUAGAGAGCAGCUGUAAUCAACAACAGAAUGAAGUUCAGUGGCUGACCCUGGUGAAAAUCACUUGUCGAACCACAACACCACCACAUGAUUGGGCAGCUCUUUGGUGUGUGUGUGUGUGUGUGUGUGUGUUUUAUUGUUUACACUGCAGAUAAAUGAGUUUCCACAAAAAACUCGCCGGCAGCAUUUUCAACUGUAAUGUGGCUGAAAAAUGUACCUGCCGUUUGUUAAAAGGGCAGAAUUUUAAAAACGGAAAGUUUACGACAAAUUAAAAAAAUAUAUACAGUAUGUCAAAAGCAUGUAUUGUUUACAACAGCCUAUUGUUGCUGAAGUUCAAGUUUGCUGCUGAAAGGGUGUACGCACACCUAUGCUAAAGUCACUGCGAUUGUUCAGUCGUGCAAUGCAAGCUUGGCUGAGAUGGGCUGGGGUGAGAAAGGCAGAAUUUUUUAUAUUCUAGCCGUGUAUGUAUAUUGUUACUAUGUUGUUGCAUCUGUUGAGGGUUUCUUUUUUUUUAAUGUAAGCAGCUCCACUAUAAAUAUAUCAAACAGAAUGUACAUGUUUAACCCCUUCUUUUCCACAGUAAAAUCUCUGAGAAUGUACAGCUUAGCGCUCUGUGUUGUUGAUAUUGUUCAUGUCUCAAACUUUGUAUUUGGGCACACAAAUCUGGGAAUGGAGACGGCUGAACUCACAGCCCAGGAGCAAACUAUACCAGAUCACUCAAGGCAAAUAUACAACUUUUACUUUAACUCCUUCUAGCCUGUUGAAUUAUUGAUGUUUUUUCUUUCUUUUAAUAUUUUAUGUUCUAAGAAUUGAUACCACGAGUCCCUGUGCAGACCUGGAAACCUACCAGUGGACCAGUUGUCAGGGAUGCAUGCCAUGUAUUUGUAAUUUUAUGAGUUUGAUCCCACAGUAUGACCUUUUCUGCAUGCCCCCUCCCCCCACACCCACCUUUCUUGGAAGAAUCCACCGUGCACUGACUGGUAACACAGAAUACGCCACACUCGUAGUCCUCACGUAACGUUCAGGAUUCCUGUCAGGCUUGCAAUUCAGCUAACAGCAUUUUAUCAUUACUUAACGUCACUGUAAGUGAUAGGCCGGCCCCGUUUGUUUUUGGAGCAUGUCGAUUGUGUCAGCGUGACUGUUUUUAUAAUUACAUCAUUUUAACUCGCUAAUUCCAGCUGGUGGAUUGUGACAAACAGCCCUAAUGUCCAUUUGUUAUAUUAUUUGACCCUUUUAACCCCUAGUUUUAUUGUUGACAGUAUUAUUAGAACGACUACAUUGCUUUCACACUGCAUUCUAUUCAUUCUGAAGAAAAUUUGAUUUUGACAAAUGGUAUCACACCUUCAAACCUGGGGCAUUAAAUGUUUAAAUGCAGUACAUCAGCCCUCACUUCUUUUUUAAAAAAUGUUAACAACCUCUUCAGCCACAUUGAUUUGUGAUGCACAAACCGGCUGUGAAACCUUGUUGGCUUCUCAAUAUAACCCUUGACACAACGGUGAUCACUCUCUCUCUCUCUCUCUCUCUCUCUCUCUCUCUCUCUGAUGAAUAUGUAAUGAAUACAACUGACAUGUGAUUAUGAUUUUGUAAUCUGUCUGCCUUUGUAUGCAAGCUCAAUAUUAUGGAAAAAAACAGCUGCAUGCGUGUGUUCUUGGUUUUGUCAUGAGAUGACUUUGCCUCAUGUUUGAUACUGUUUUCUGUAUAAAAAAAAAAAAAUACACAUCUGUGUAUGCUCUAAGAUUAUGCUAUGAGUCAGUCUUUCUUCUGGACAAGAUUUUGUACCUUUGAACACUAUCGCAUUGCCUGUUUGGCUGCUGUAUUGACUAUCUGGAAGCGUGACUUGAUGUGAAUUAAAAUCUCUCCUUUGUU